UGCCUGCUUGCUUGUUGUCUCGACCUCAACUGGAGCCAUCCUCAUCCACUGAACCCAAGCCGCCAUUCUUCCUGCUAACUGCCGCCGCCGUGUUUUGCCGUCGUCACCAUAGCACGCCGCCCACACUCUCUAUCGAGAACCAGCAGCUCCGCCAUCCUCUUGCGACGCGAUAGCGUCCACUCAAGCAUGCUCAACCCUCUCCAAUUCCCUGGCCGGCUCUCUUCUUCCCCGGAGUCGGCAGAAACGUCGCCGCAACCUCGCCACCAUGGCCAGCCCUCCUCCAUGCUUCUCCACCACUUCUGAGCAGCUUGACGAAGUCGUGGUGAGUCCCUGAUGCUCCCCAACUCUUCCCCUCGCCUCCAACGAACGUCAACAGGCCUUUCGUCCAAUAUCCUCUGCUCUGGAUUCGCGACCAGGGACUUCGCGCAACAAUUU
rnacentral:lncRNA from 1 species